UGAGGAUGUGGUAGAUCCUGGGAGGCCACUCUGAUCCUGCCAACCUUGAGGCCAGAUGAGUCUUUGAAAAACAUGGUUUGGCUUAACACCAGCACUUAGUCUAACACCCACCAUGAAUCUUGCUGAAGUGAAGCUAUACAAAUACCUUUUCAAAAGAUUUUUUUUCAUUCCAGAUCCUUCUUAGAAAUUCCUAAGGCUCAAUGUUGUGUGGAAGAUUCUGAGAAAGAAAAUAGUUUCCGAUCUUUGGGAUUCCCCUGAGAUGGUCCAAUCUGCAAAAAGUUCAUUGCCAUUUCCAUCAAGGACACUGAGAACAAGAGUCUUAUCCGCAUUGAAUCCUGGGAAUUGAGAAGCUUCAGCAGGGCUUCCGCUGGAACUAGGAUGAGGAUGUGGACACCCCCAACCUGGACCAUCUGGCCGAGGAGGGCGUCAAGGCCAAGUACCUCAUGCCACCCCUUGUCACAAUGACCUCCCCGUCCCACUUCACUGCCAUCACAGAAUCCCAGUGGCCACUAAAACAGAGGGAUUCCAACCUAAAAAGGAGGAAAAGGAGGCUGCUGAAAAGCAAAGGACUCUGUGUAAGAAUCAUAAUAGCGGAGGUGGAGCCAAGAUGGCAGAAUAGGAACA
rnacentral:lncRNA from 1 species